rnacentral:rRNA from 1 species
GAUGAACGCUGGCGGCGUGCCUAAUACAUGCAAGUCGAGCGAACGGACGAGAAGCUUGCUUCCCUGAUGUUAGCGGCGGACGGGUGAGUAACACGUGGAUAACCUACUUAUCUGACUGGGAUAACUUCGGGAAAACGGAGAUCAUAACGGAUAAUCUUUUGAUCUGCAUGGUUCAAAAGUGAAAGAUGGUCUUGUUGUAUCUUAUCGCUGGAUCCGCGCUGCAUUAGCUAGUUGGUAAGGUAACGGCUUACCAAGGCAACGAUGCAUGGCAGACCGGCGAGGGUGUUCGCCCACACGGGAACUGGAACACGGUCCAGACUCCUACGGGAGGCAGAAGUAGGGAAUCUUCCGCAUGGGGGGAAAGCCUGACGGAGAAAGGCCGCGUGGGUGAGGAGGGUCUUCGGAUCGUAAGACUCUGUUAUUAGGGAGAAACAGAUUGGUAAGGAACUGUGCACAUCGUGACGGUACCUAAUCAGAAAGCCACGGCUAACUACGUG